rnacentral:tRNA from 1 species
GAGAGAGGCUCGCAGCAACGAAGACUGCUAAUCUCCGCGACUUUGGUUGGACUCCAGAGCUCACUCG